rnacentral:lncRNA from 1 species
UAGUCUGCAAAUGAUUAAGUGAACAUGAGCAAGGUUUAAGUAUCUAUGGGCUUUUGUAUUAGAGUAGCUUUACGGGGUUCUUGCCAAGGAGGAAAAGAGUUUGCAAGGAGCAAGGAACAGCUGCUGAUGCUGAAGAGAGCCAAAGCUUCCACCAUGAAGUAACGAUGGUUCUUCUCCAUAUUUCCCUGGCUCCUAACUCAGGAGUCUCCUUCAUGCAUUUGUCUUACACCUUAGGCAAUAGGAAAUAUUAGUGGCCUUGCAUGAAAAAUAGUUCACAUGACAUUUCACCCUACCUUAGUAAUUUUCAAGCUUUAUGUUUUAGUAUAGUCCAGGGAUGUUUCAGAAUUAUCACCACAGUGAUUUUAUCUGCUCAGUAUGAGCACUCUAAUGUCAGCUUUAAGUAAAAUAAACUAUGAUCAAUAUCCUUAGAUCUGUUUACAUUAAUCAAAUGCUCCAGGGAUAGAAGUAAUGAAACACUGGAUUCAGUCAAGUGGUCCUUUUUUCCCCUUCCUUGGUCAUGCCAUCUACUAUUCAUGUAUAACAAUAGAAUAGUAGAUCACUUUCCAUCCUCUACAAUGUGUACUUCAGAAGGCAACCACCUGACACUCUGUGAGAAGUCUUCCUUUGAGUCUCCUCAGUACCCAAGUAAAGCCUGCAUCUGAUAGCAGAUUCAAAUUAGGAGGCUAGUCCCAAAUUAUAAAGCUAAUGCUUGCCGUGAUAAUGAUCUAGUCAUAAUUUCAUUAGCAUUAUAUUGAGCCAUGCUUCAGAUCCUAGCAGUAAAUCUCAGAAAACAUAAAAAAAAAAAAAAAAAAAAAGCACUGGGUAAAGCAGAGCAGGACUCUGUCACCCUGAAGCCUCCU